rnacentral:lncRNA from 1 species
CUUUGAUUGGAGAGGUUGCUUCUUGACCCUUGAUCUUUAAGUUGCGUUCACACUGAAAUAAGAGCUGAUUGCUUGGUUCACUCAAAUCUGAACCAAUUUGAGUCCAAAUUGAAUCGUAUGAACCCAAACUCCCAAUUACCUGCAAAAUAGACUAGAUAGCAUUAAAUUCUUAAUAAAAUAACAUUAGUGAUUACAAUAUUUAGUGCCUCUAGCAUCCUAACUUAAGUAUUCAUCAACGGUCCUACUUCCAGGCCCAUUCAAUAAAAGUUCUUACCAACCUCCCCUUAAGGUCUAUACUUCACAGAUCGGAUACCUCGAGAAGAAUGGC